rnacentral:rRNA from 1 species
AGACGUCUACAUUAGAUACCCCUGUAGUCCCAGCCGUAAACUAUGCGCGUUAGGUGUAUCGGUGACCACGAGUUACCGAGGUGCCGAAGGGAAACCGUGAAACGUGCCGCCUGGGAAGUACGGUCGCAAGGCUGAAACUUAAAGGAAUUGGCGGGGGAGCACCACAACAGGUGGAGCCUGCGGUUUAAUUGGACUCAACGCCGGACAACUCACCGGGAACGACAGCAAUAUGUAGGCCAGGCUGAAGACCUUGCCUGAAUCGCUG